rnacentral:piRNA from 1 species
UCUCAUGUAGAAAUCUCUUUGCCUGCGAUG